GGUGGCGCAGUGGUGAAAGUGCUUGGCUGCUAACCAAAAUGUUGGUGGUUCGAACCCACCAGCCA
rnacentral:tRNA from 1 species